GACGAACGCCGGCGGCGUGCCUAAUACAUGCAAGUAGAACGCACAGUUUAUACCGUAGCUUGCUACACCAUAAACUGUGAGUUGCGAACGGGUGAGUAACGCGUAGGUAACCUGCCUGGUAGCGGGGGAUAACUAUUGGAAACGAUAGCUAAUACCGCAUAAUAUUGAUUAUUGCAUGAUAAUUGAUUGAAAGAUGCUAUUGCAUCACUACCAGAUGGACCUGCGUUGUAUUAGCUAGUAGGUGAGGUAACGGCUCACCUAGGCGACGAUACAUAGCCGACCUGAGAGGGUGAUCGGCCACACUGGGACUGAGACACGGCCCAGACUCCUACGGGAGGCAGCAGUAGGGAAUCUUCGGCAAUGGACGAAAGUCUGACCGAGCAACGCCGCGUGAGUGAAGAAGGUUUUCGGAUCGUAAAGCUCUGUUGUAAGAGAAGAACGGGUGUGAGAGUGGAAAGUUCACACUGUGACGGUAUCUUACCAGAAAGGGACGGCUAACUACGUG
rnacentral:rRNA from 1 species